rnacentral:lncRNA from 1 species
GAUGAUACAAAUGAAGAAAAGAAAUACCAUUACACCAUAAUCCAAAUCAGUGUGUAGGAGCAUGAGCCAUCUAUCCAAGGAUGAGAUGUUUUUGGAACCAAAUGAGAUUACAAAAUCAUGUUUUUUCACCUCAUUUGCGAACUCCUUUCUCCUCUUGAAUUCUAAGAAAAAAACACCUAAAAACAACCUAAGAACACUCUCAAGUGAGAGAGAACCGAAAAUGAAAAGAAGAAGAGAAAACUACAAAGAAUGUACAAUGUGUUAAAGUGAAGGAAUGAGUGUGCCUUUUAUAGGCAAUGUGAGGGCCGCUUGGCCCCCCUUUCCUGGCUGCCCAGCGCCCUGGUCAGGCGGUUUGGCACACCCAAAGCUGGUGGGUCAGCAACUUGUCCCAUCUUGACCAGCUAUCUUGGACAACCUAUUAUGGACUAUGUUACAUGCAUGUUGAAAUCUCCUACUUGGCUAUUCAGAAC